rnacentral:tRNA from 2 species
UGGGGCGUAGCUUAGCUGGCAAAGCGCCGGACUGUUAAUCCGAAGACCGGUGGUUCGAAUCCACCCGCCCCAG